rnacentral:rRNA from 1 species
CCUACGGGAGGCAGCAGUGGGGAAUAUUGGACAAUGGGGGCAACCCUGAUCCAGCCAUGCCGCGUGUGUGAAGAAGGCCUUCGGGUUGUAAAGCACUUUAAGCGGGGAGGAAGGGCUUCUGGUUAAUACCUGGAAGUUUUGACGUUACCUGCAGAAUAAGCACCGGCUAACUCUGUGCCAGCAGCCGCGGUAAUACAGAGGGUGCAAGCGUUAAUCGGAAUUACUGGGCGUAAAGCGCGCGUAGGCGGUUUGUUAAGUCGGAUGUGAAAUCCCCGGGCUCAACCUGGGCACUGCAUCCGAUACUGGCUGACUAGAGUGUGGGAGAGGAAGGUAGAAUUCCAGGUGUAGCGGUGAAAUGCGUAGAGAUCUGGAGGAAUACCGAUGGCGAAGGCAGCCUUCUGGCCUAACACUGACGCUGAGGUGCGAAAGCAUGGGGAGCAAACAGGAUUAGAUACCCUGGUAGUCCAUGCGACAACGAUAGUCACUACGUCGUUCGGGUACCGUUCGUAGUCUUAGUUGGCGCGAGCGUACGACGAGUAAGUUAGACCGCCGUCGGGAGGUACGGCCGCGAACGUUAAACGUAACGAAAGGAAAGUUAGACGGCGUGAGACGUAGACCGACGGACGACGACGAGGGGAGGAGG